rnacentral:rRNA from 1 species
GACGAACGCUGGCGGCGUGCUUAACACAUGCAAGUCGAACGGAAAGGCCCUGCUUUUGUGGGGUGCUCGAGUGGCGAACGGGUGAGUAACACGUGAGUAACCUGCCCUUGACUUUGGGAUAACUUCAGGAAACUGGGGCUAAUACCGGAUAGGAGCUCCUGCUGCAUGGUGGGGGUUGGAAAGUUCCGGCGGUUGGGGAUGGACUCGCGGCUUAUCAGCUUGUUGGUGGGGUAGUGGCUUACCAAGGCUUUGACGGGUAGGCGGCCUGAGAGGGUGAACGGGCACAUUGGGCCUGAGAUACGGCCCAGACUCCUACGGUAGGCAGUAGGGGGGAAUAUGGCACAAUGGGCGGAAGCCUGAUGCAGCAACGCCCCGUGCGUGAUGACGGCCUUCGGGUUGUAAACCGCUGUCGCCUUUGACGAAGCGUGCGUGACGGUAAUGGGUAAAGAAGCACCGGCUAACUACGUG